rnacentral:rRNA from 1 species
GUCCACGCCCUAAACGAUGUCAACUGGUUGUUGGACGGCUUGCUGUUCAGUAACGAAGCUAACGCGUGAAGUUGACCGCCUGGGGAGUACGGCCGCAAGGUUGAAACUAAAAGGAAUUGACGGGGACCCGCACAAGCGGUGGAUGAUGUGGUUUAAUUCGAUGCAACGCGAAAAACAUUACCUACCCUUGACAUGUCUGGAAUUUUGCAGAGAUGUGAAAGUGCUCGAAAGAGAGCCAGAACACAGGUGCUGCAUGGCCGUCGU